CUUUUACAAUGAAGAGUUUGAUCCUGGCUCAGGAUGAACGCUAGCUACAGGCUUAACACAUGCAAGUCGAGGGGCAUCAGGAAGAAAGCUUGCUUUCUUUGCUGGCGACCGGCGCACGGGUGAGUAACACGUAUCCAACCUGCCCUUUACUCGGGGAUAGCCUUUCGAAAGAAAGAUUAAUACCCGAUAGCAUAAUGAUUCCGCAUGGUUUCAUUAUUAAAGGAUUCCGGUAAAGGAUGGGGAUGCGUUCCAUUAGGUUGUUGGUGAGGUAACGGCUCACCAAGCCUUCGAUGGAUAGGGGUUCUGAGAGGAAGGUCCCCCACAUUGGAACUGAGACACGGUCCAAACUCCUACGGGAGGCAGCAGUGAGGAAUAUUGGUCAAUGGGCGUUAGCCUGAACCAGCCAAGUAGCGUGAAGGAUGAAGGCUCUAUGGGUCGUAAACUUCUUUUAUAUAAGAAUAAAGUGCAGUAUGUAUACUGUUUUGUAUGUAUUAUAUGAAUAAGGAUCGGCUAACUCCGUGCCAGCAGCCGCGGUAAUACGGAGGAUCCGAGCGUUAUCCGGAUUUAUUGGGUUUAAAGGGAGCGUAGGUGGACUGGUAAGUCAGUUGUGAAAGUUUGCGGCUCAACCGUAAAAUUGCAGUUGAUACUGUCAGUCUUGAGUACAGUAGAGGUGGGCGGAAUUCGUGGUGUAGCGGUGAAAUGCUUAGAUAUCACGAAGAACUCCGAUUGCGAAGGCAGCUCACUGGACUGCAACUGACACUGAUGCUCGAAAGUGUGGGUAUCAAACAGGAUUAGAUACCCUGGUAGUCCACACAGUAAACGAUGAAUACUCGCUGUUUGCGAUAUACAGUAAGCGGCCAAGCGAAAGCAUUAAGUAUUCCACCUGGGGAGUACGCCGGCAACGGUGAAACUCAAAGGAAUUGACGGGGGCCCGCACAAGCGGAGGAACAUGUGGUUUAAUUCGAUGAUACGCGAGGAACCUUACCAGGUCUUGACAUCCUUUGACCACUCUAGAGAUAGAGCUUCCCCUUCGGGGGCAAAGUGACAGGUGGUGCAUGGUUGUCGUCAGCUCGUGUCGUGAGAUGUUGGGUUAAGUCCCGCAACGAGCGCAACCCUUAUUGUUAGUUGCCAUCAUUCAGUUGGGCACUCUAGCAAG
rnacentral:rRNA from 1 species